CUAGUUUGAAAAAAAAAAAAACUAAAAAAAACAAAACAAACUUGUCUGCUGUGAGUUUGAUCAUGGUCCCUUUAAACAGUUCGCUCAUAUGUUACAAAACUGUAAAAUAUGGGUGCUACCAAAAUACAGAAAC